AGAGUUUGAUCCUGGCUCAGGACGAACGCUGGCGGCACGCUUAACACAUGCAAGUCGAACGAGAGAAGAGGAGCUUGCUUUUCUGAUCUAGUGGCGGACGGGUGAGUAACACGUGAGCAAUCUGCCUUUCAGAGGGGGAUACCGAUUGGAAACGAUCGUUAAUACCGCAUAACAUAAUUGAACCGCAUGAUUUGAUUAUCAAAGAUUUAUCGCUGAAGGAUGAGCUCGCGUCUGAUUAGCUAGUUGGUAAGGUAACGGCUUACCAAGGCGACGAUCAGUAGCCGGACUGAGAGGUUGAUCGGCCACAUUGGGACUGAGACACGGCCCAGACUCCUACGGGAGGCAGCAGUGGGGAAUAUUGCACAAUGGAGGAAACUCUGAUGCAGCGAUGCCGCGUGAGGGAAGAAGGUUUUAGGAUUGUAAACCUCUGUCUUCAGGGACGAAAAAAGACGGUACCUGAGGAGGAAGCUCCGGCUAACUACGUGCCAGCAGCCGCGGUAAUACGUAGGGAGCGAGCGUUGUCCGGAAUUACUGGGUGUAAAGGGAGCGUAGGCGGGAUCGCAAGUCAGAUGUGAAAACUAUGGGCUUAACCCAUAAACUGCAUUUGAAACUGUGGUUCUUGAGUGAAGUAGAGGUAAGCGGAAUUCCUAGUGUAGCGGUGAAAUGCGUAGAUAUUAGGAGGAACAUCAGUGGCGAAGGCGGCUUACUGGGCUUUAACUGACGCUGAGGCUCGAAAGCGUGGGGAGCAAACAGGAUUAGAUACCCUGGUAGUCCACGCCGUAAACGAUGAUUACUAGGUGUGGGGGGACUGACCCCUUCCGUGCCGCAGCAAACGCAAUAAGUAAUCCACCUGGGGAGUACGACCGCAAGGUUGAAACUCAAAGGAAUUGACGGGGGCCCGCACAAGCAGUGGAGUAUGUGGAUUAAUUCGAAGCAACGCGAAGAACCUUACCAGGCCUUGACAUCGUAUGCAUAGCUCAGAGAUGAGUGAAAUCUCUUCGGAGACAUAUAGACAGGUGGUGCAUGGUUGUCGUCAGCUCGUGUCGUGAGAUGUUGGGUUAAGUCCCGCAACGAGCGCAACCCUUACUGUUAGUUGCUACGCAAGAGCACUCUAGCAGGACUGCCGUUGACAAAACGGAGGAAGGUGGGGAUGACGUCAAAUCAUCAUGCCCCUUAUGACCUGGGCCUCACACGUACUACAAUGGCUGUCAACAGAGGGAAGCAAAGCCGCGAGGUGGAGCGAACCCCUAAAAGCAGUCUUAGUUCGGAUUGUAGGCUGCAACCCGCCUACAUGAAGUCGGAAUUGCUAGUAAUCGCAGAUCAGCAUGCUGCGGUGAAUACGUUCCCGGGCCUUGUACACACCGCCCGUCACGCCAUGGGAGUCGGUAACACCCGAAGCCUGUAGUCUAACCGCAAGGAGGACGCAGUCGAAGGUGGGAUUGAUGACUGGGGUGAAGUCGUAACAAGGUA
rnacentral:rRNA from 1 species